rnacentral:rRNA from 1 species
UGGGGAAUAUUGCACAAUGGGCGCAAGCCUGAUGCAGCGACGCCGCGUGAGGGAUGACGGCCUUCGGGUUGUAAACCUCUUUCAGCAUCGACGAAGCGCAAGUGACGGUAGAUGCAGAAGAAGCACCGGCCAACUACGUGCCAGCAGCCGCGGUAAUACGUAGGGUGCGAGCGUUGUCCGGAAUUACUGGGCGUAAAGAGCUCGUAGGUGGUUUGUCGCGUUGUCCGUGAAAACUCACAGCUUAACUGUGGGCGUGCGGGCGAUACGGGCAGACUGGAGUACUGCAGGGGAGACUGGAAUUCCUGGUGUAGCGGUGGAAUGCGCAGAUAUCAGGAGGAACACCGGUGGCGAAGGCGGGUCUCUGGGCAGUAACUGACGCUGAGGAGCGAAAAGCGUGGGGAGCGAACA